rnacentral:lncRNA from 1 species
ACACACACACACACACAGAGACAGACUCUCACUCUCUUACACAGCCCCUCUCGCGCCCGAGGUCUCGCCCGCAGGCCGGUGGCGCGGGGUCAGCUGCUGCCUGCGGUCCAGGACAGGGUCGGUUCCGCCGCGCAGCGCCCAGGCCCAGCUCGUCCAGAGUCUGCGGGCAGCGCACGUCCAGGCACUUUCCCACACAGGACAGAGCCGGACCAUCAUCACAGCCCCUGCCCAGCAGACGCUAGCCUUGUGGAGGGAGGCGGGCAGCAGGAGCAGUGCUUUCUGGGCCUCUGUGGCCAGAGCCGGCCCCGCUACAGCUCACUUCUGCCUGCAGCCCAGACAUCCUCCUGGUCCUCCUGAUGCCCCCGACCUCCACGGAGGAUGAGCAUUUCCAGCCCAGCCCUCCCCAUCUCCACCUCCCACUCCCGACACACAGGGAGCCUCCUGAUCUGUGAACCCGCGCUGGCGGGAGUAGCUACUGACCGCUGGGGACCCCUGCCCAGGCUGCUCCCAUGUGGAAAGGAUUCAGGGAGCAGGCGAUGCUUAGCCGAAAGCGUGGAGACCAGCGCUGCUCUCUCCCCAGCGACAGGUGCACACCCAGAUCAUGGAUGUGUCGGGAACAGCUGUGCUCCUGCUCAGCGUCCGUCACUCCAGGCUGGGAGCGGGUCCCCAAGCUUCCAGCUGGGCCUAUCCGUCUCCACUCUCAGUGUGGGGGUGGGGGGCGCCAACAGCAUGCAUUUGCUCUACGCACUUCUCGUCUGAUAAUGGACUGAGGGUCCUUCUGCAGCCCCAAAACAUCCCUAGGCAGGAGCCCUGGGGCCCCAAGCAGCCAGGGAGGUGAGC